rnacentral:misc_RNA from 1 species
GAUGAAGAACGCAGCGAAAUGCGAUAAGUAAUGUGAAUUGCAGAAUUCAGUGAAUCAUCGAAUCUUUGAACGCACAUUGCGCCCCCUGGUAUUCCGGGGGGCAUGCCUGUCCGAGCGUCAUUACAACCCUCAAGCUCAGCUUGGUAUUGGGCCCCGCCGACCCGGCGGGCCCUAAAGUCAGUGGCGGUGCCGUCCGGCUCCGAGCGUAGUAAUUCUUCUCGCUCUGGAGGUCCGGUCGUGUGCUCGCCAGCAACCCCCAAUUUUUUUCAGGUUGAACUCGGAUCAGGUAGGGAUACCCGCUGAACUUAAGCAUAUCAAUAAGCGGAGGA